GACGAACGCUGGCGGCGUGCUUAACACGUGCAAGUCGAACGGUAAGGCUCCAGCUUGCUGGGGUACACGAGUGGCGAACGGGUGAGUAACACGUGGGUGACCUGCCCUGCACUUCGGGAUAAGCCUGGGAAACUGGGUCUAAUACCGGAUAGGACCGCACCGUGAGGGUGUGGUGGAAAGUUUUUUCGGUGUGGGAUGGGCCCGCGGCCUAUCAGCUUGUUGGUGGGGUAAUGGCCUACCAAGGCGGCGACGGGUAGCCGGCCUGAGAGGGUGGACGGCCACAUUGGGACUGAGACACGGCCCAGACUCCUACGGGAGGCAGCAGUGGGGAAUAUUGCACAAUGGGCGGAAGCCUGAUGCAGCGACGCCGCGUGGGGGAUGACGGCCUUCGGGUUGUAAACUCCUUUCACCAUCGACGAAGGGUUUCUGACGGUAGAUGGAGAAGAAGCACCGGCUAACUACGUG
rnacentral:rRNA from 1 species